rnacentral:misc_RNA from 1 species
GAAAUGCGAUAAGUAGUGUGAAUUGCAGAAUUCAGUGAAUCAUCGAAUCUUUGAACUCACAUUGCGCCCCUUGGUAUUCCAUGGGGCAUGCCUGUUCGAGCGUCAUUUGUACCCUCAAGCUCUGCUUGGUGUUGGGUGUUUGUCCCCGUCUCCGCGCGUGGACUCGCCCCAAAGUGAUUGGCAGCCGGCGUACUGGUCCCGGAGCGCAGCACAUGUCGCGCAAACGAGUGCCUUGGUACGGCGGCGUCCAUAAGCCCCUCUCUCACGCUCUUGACCUCGGAUCAGGUAGGGAUACCCGCUGAACUUAAGC